GACUUGGUCUAAGCUCCUCAGU
rnacentral:miRNA from 1 species